UUUUCUUUUAGCCCCAAAUGCUAAUGUGCUAUUACACCAUUUUAAUUUUGCAAAUUAGAAGUUAAAACUAUUUUCGAAUCUUAAUUUCAAUGUAUUUUUACUUUUCCUCGACAAGGAAAAAAAUAUUUUGAUAAAUUUUUUCUUUUUUAAAUUUCUUUAGUUUCCUUUCGUACUAUAAAGAAAAUAAUUUAUUUUUUUUUAACUAAAAGAUUUAAACCAACCUGGCUCACGCCGGUUUGAACUCAAAUCACGUAGAGUUAUAUUUUUGGACGAACAGUCCAUAAUUAGUGCAUUCUUCUGCAAUUAAUUGAAAAAAAAUUUUUCUAAUUUUCUCUGGUUCAACAUCGAGGUCAUACUCUUUUCUUAGAAUUUGGUCUUCUAUGAAAAUAUUAUGCUGUUAUCCCUUUAGUAUCAUUUCCUAUUAACUGUUAAAAUAGUUAUUAUUCUCAGAAAAUAAGAAAAUUAUAUUCUCUGUUGCCCCAACAAUUAUUUUUUUAUUUUGAUAUAACAAAAAAAUAAAGAUUAAAGGGUCUUAUCGUCUUUUUAUAUUUUGGAUGAGAUUUAACAUCCAACUUAUUUUUUACUAUAUUUAUAGAAAAUUUUUCCCGCGUUAACCCAUUCAGACAAUCCGCCAAUUAAGCGGCUAGUAAUUAUGCUACCUUAGCAAAGAAUUUGGCUUUUUUAAUUUUUUUAAUAUUUAUGUGAGCAGGGCCUACUUCUAAUCUUUUUAAAUUAAAGUUGAAGAAAUGUUUUUGUUAAACAGUCGGGGACUGAUUUCUGUUUUGAAUUCUUUUAAAUAAAUUUUUUUUCUCUAAAGAUUAUUUCUUUUGAAAAUUGAUCUAUAUAUCCUGUUUUUUCCAAAUUUUUUUCUUUUCCAAAAUUUUUGAAAUUAAUUUUUUUUCUGUAUUUUUCCUAAUUUCAAUAUCCUCUUUGAUAUUGUGAUUUUUUUGUUUACUUCCUAAGAAUUGAUCAAUUUACCAGUUUUUUAGGUCCGAUUUUCUUUUUUAGAACUUUUUAUUUUAAAUCCUCUUUAUUACGAGGAAAAAAAAAAAUUGUUGGAUCACCUAAAUUCGGGUCCUUUAGUCGUAAUACAAAAAGAAUUUUUUUUUAAUAAUUUUAUUUUUUUUUCGCAGUACGUGUAAAAUACUUCUAUUUUUCGUUUUGAUUUACAGUCAUUUUUUCAUUUAACAGAUGAACUUAUUUUCAAUAAAUUUGAUUUGAAAUCAAUGCUGUCUUAGUCUCCAAAACUAAAAUUUUAGCUUUUUACAAGAAAGCGGAUU
rnacentral:rRNA from 1 species